rnacentral:lncRNA from 1 species
UAGUUUUGUAUUCUUGUUUUUAAUUUAUUUUUUUUUGGUUAAUGAUGUCUUGUCUAAUUAUUUUUUUUUUGUUUUUGUUUUUAUACACUUAUCCCGUUUUUAUGGUAUUUAAAAUUCUAACACUGUCUGUAUUGACUGCUGUUCCCCGAUUUUUGAUUAUUGUCAAUAUAUGUAAUACUAUGCGUCUAUCAUACCAGUAAGAGUUUUAGUUAAAUUUAAGCCACCACUUCUACAUAAGAAAAUGUCUGUACUAAGUCAGGAAUAUGACAGUUUCUUUCUAUUCGUUUUAUGUGUUCGAGCCUUUUGCUUUGCCACUUGAUCAAGAAUUUUUCCAAAUCAAUCCAUCAACAGUGCACACCAAUUGAUAAAAAUAAGUAAUCAAUUAAGUGAGAGAACAUCAUCUAAAUAGCUGAAAGUAUUUGUUAAAGAACACAGCUAACUUCUUUUUUUUCUUAUGAAGUCAGCCUCAUAUGAAUAAAGGAACAAGUCGACAAGAAGAGGGGCACAUUUUUUACCAAUAGGAAUGCCAAUUAUUUGUUGAAAAACACGUCCUCCAAGCGUAACAAAAAUGUUGUCAAUCAAGAAAUCAAGCAUCUUGGUAACGCCAGUUUCAGAGAUUUUUUUGUUAGAUUCAGAAAGUACUUUAUCCCUUUCUAAGACAAGAAUUUAUGUAAAAUCUUAAAGAUCUUUUGAAUUUUUUAGUAUCCUUUUAAGUGCAAGGAAAUAUGUUAACUUAUAAGGUCAACUGAAAUUGAAAAGUUUCUUUGAGACCGGAAAUGUUUUUUUCAACGCCAUAUACUUUGGUAAUCAAAAUGCAUACCUCUUAUUUUCAGAAUAUUUUUGAACAAGAAUGUGUCGAAAGUACACGAAUGCCCCACUCGCACUUUAAUUGUCCAUGUUCAAUGGACCGUGAAAUUGGGAAAAAAAUCUAAUUUGCUAUUAAAUUUAGAAAGAUCAUACCAUAAGGAACCUCUGUACUAAGUUUCAAGAUGAUUGGACUUCAGCUUCAUCAAAAAAUACCUUGACCAAAAACUUUUAACCUGAAGUGGACGGACGAACGAACGAACGGACGCACAGACCAGAAAACAUAAUGCUCGUAGGUAGCAUAAAAAUUAAAAUCUGGUAGACAUGCA